ACAUACGGCCACAGACAUCCCGUCCGCUCUCCCUUAGUCAAACCUGUGAUCGCCGGAUCAGUAGUUGGGUCGGUGACGACCAGCGAAUACCUGGUGCUGUAUGUU
rnacentral:rRNA from 1 species